rnacentral:rRNA from 1 species
AAUGAACGCUGGCGGCGUGCUUAACACAUGCAAGUCGCACGAGAACGCUUCAGCUUGCUGAGGCUAGUAAAGUGGCGCACGGGUGAGUAACGCGCGGGUAAUCUCCCCCCGAAUUGGGGAUAACAUCGCGAAAGCGAUGCUAAUACCGAAUGAUAUCUGAAAAAUUCCGAUUUUUUGGAUCAAAGGUGGCCUCUACAUGUAAGCUACUGUUUGGGGAUGAGCCCGCGUACCAUUAGCUUGUUGGUAGGGUAAUGGCCUACCAAGGCUACGAUGGUUAGCUGGUCUGAGAGGAUGAUCAGCCACACUGGAACUGACACACGGUCCAG